AGGUCAUGUGUGAUUAGGAUUUCAGUGACACCACUACAUCACUAAUUUUACCAUCUUGCCAAUUCAAGGAGGAAAAAGGCAGAGAAGCCAGGAGGCUGACGAGCCCAACUCACCGCCUAUGUGGAACACACCAUCAUCACUCCGCUUCAGCACAACAUGCUCCAUGGCCAGAGUGAUGGGGACAGGGCCUGGAGAUGUUGGAUAGAUGGGAGGGAUAUCAUCCUGCAGGAAAGAGGGAAACCACACGAUGCCCCCAACCAGCUCAGGAAAAUUCAGCACAAAUACCAAAGGAUUGAAUGUGAAUGACAGAAGUUCCCUGAUCAGAUAUAGUUGGAUGUCAGCAGCUACGCAAAUGAAGAGGACAGUGGCCUACUGAAUAAGCUUAAGGAGCACCUGGGAAGUGAAGAUGGCGAAUAGCCUACUGAAGGCAAAGCCCCAGAAGGAGUUCUGGGAGGUUCCCUGCAAGAAGGAGGCUUCACUGGAGUUCUUCCUCCUAAUGGCUCCAGGAGAGAAGGACCAUGGGCUUGGCACUAGGACAGCUACGGUCAGGGCCCAGUGACAGGAGCAAGAAGCUACAGCUGCCCCAGAUAAAUCCCAGCAUCCUCACCU